UACGUAGGGGGCGAGCGUUGUCCGGAUUCAUUGGGCGUAAAGAGCUCGUAGGCGGUUCAGUAAGUCGGGUGUGAAAUCUCCGUGCUCAACACGGAGCGGCCACCUGAUACUGCUGUGACUCGAGUCCGGUAGGGGAGUGUGGAAUUCCCGGUGUAGCGGUGAAAUGCGCGGAUAUCGGGAGGAACACCAGUAGCGAAGGCGGCACUCUGGGCCGUGACUGACGCUGAGGAGCGAAAGCGUGGGUAGCAAACAGG
rnacentral:rRNA from 1 species